AUGCAGGUGCGGCUGGACACAUCUUCUGAGCUAUAAGCAUUACUUAUUUAGUCCCGUUAAACGGAUUAUAUCUUAUUGCUGCAGCUAACAUAAAGGUCGAUUGUCUUUGUGGCCGACUGAUGCAGGAAGACAAAGGGAGAUGAAAGUCUCUUUUUGUUCAACUCGAUCUCAAAUCAAGCAAGACUACCCGCUGAACUUAA
rnacentral:misc_RNA from 1 species